rnacentral:rRNA from 1 species
UACAGAGGCCACAAGCAUUAUCCGGAUUCACUGGGCGUAAAGGGUUCGUAGGCGGUGUUAUUAGUCGGGCGUUAAAUCCUGGGGCUCAACCUCAGAAUCGCAUUCGAAACGGUAGCACUAGAAGAAGUGAGAGGUUAGUAGAACUCUCGGUGUAGGGGUGAAAUCCGUUGAUAUCGAGGGGAAUACCAAAUGCGAAGGCAACUAACUGGCACUUUCUUGACGCUGAGGAACGAAAGCGUGGGUAGCGAACGGG